UACAGAGGUCUCAAGCGUUGUUCGGAUUCAUUGGGCGUAAAGGGUGCGUAGGCGGCUUGUUAAGUCACUGGUGAAAGUUUUCGGCCCAACCGGAAAAUGGCCUGUGAUACUGGCGAGCUUGAGUGCGUGAGGGGUGGGGGGAACGAGCAGUGUAGCGGUGAAAUGCGUAGAUAUUGCUCGGAAGGCCGGAGCCGAAGGGGCCCCACUGGUACGCAACUGACGCUGAGGCACGAAAGCGUGGGGAGCAAACAGG
rnacentral:rRNA from 1 species